GAUGAACGCUAGCGAUAGGCUUAACACAUGCAAGUCGAGGGGCAGCAUGGUCUUAGCUUGCUCAGACUGAUGGCGACCGGCGCACGGGUGCGUAACGCGUAUGCAACUUGCCUCACAGAGGGGGAUAACCCGUCGAAAGACGGACUAAUACCGCGUACACCCCCUCUUGGGCAUCCAAGGUAGAGGAACUGAAAUUCGCUGUGAGAUAGGCAUGCGUCGGAUUAGCUAGUUGGGGGGGUAACGGCUCACCAAGGCGACGAUGCGUAGGGGGACUGAGAGGAUGAGCAGCCACACUGGAACGGAGACACGGUACAGACGCGUACGGGAGGCAGCAGUGGGGAAUAUUGGAAAAUGGGCGCAAGGCUGAUCCAGCAAUACCGAGUGGGUGAAGAAGGCCGUCGGGUUGUAAAGCCCUUGUGUGGGGAAAGAAAAGCAGCAGGUUAAUACCCCGCUGUUCUGACGGUACCAAAAGAAUAAGCACCGGAUAACUUCGUG
rnacentral:rRNA from 1 species